rnacentral:rRNA from 1 species
AUACGUAGGUGACAAGCGUUAUCCGGAUUUACUGGGCGUAAAGGGCGUGUAGGCGGUCUUGCAAGUCAGAAGUGAAAUUCCUGAGCUCAACUCGGGCGCUGCUUCUGAAACUGCAGGACUUGAGUGCUGGAGGGGAUAGCGGAAUUCCUAGUGGAGCGGUAAAAUGCGCAGAUAUUAGGAAGAACACCGGUGGCGAAGGCGGCUAUCUGGACAGUAACUGGCGCUGAGGCGCGAAAGCGUGGGGAGCAAACAGGAAUAGAGACCCGGGUAGCCCACGCCGUAAACGAUGAAUACUAGGUGUAGGGGGUAUCGACUCCCUCUGUGCCGCAGUUAACACAAUAAGUAUUCCACCUGGGGAGUACGUUCGCAAGAAUGAAACUCAAAGGAAUUGACGGGG